AAAUAGAAAACGAGUAAACAUUGAAGACGAAGCAGAAAUUGGAAAUUCCUAAGACACCAAUUCUCUUAUGCCUACAUUUUUUUAAGGUGCCAAUUCUCCACACUAUCUUUGAAUUAUUUCAAAUACAAUCUUAUUUAGUACAAAUAUGUUAAUAUGUAGUUGAUCAUUUUCAUCACGCAUCAACUCAUCUUCGUUUUAAUGUUCUGUUUUACUUGCGAGAAUUACAAUUAUCGAUAUUCACUUUUGAAGUUCAAUAGCGAUGCUUAUACAUAGUUAAAUAUUCACGUUAAAAUGAAAAUAUUUUUUAUUGAAUGAGUGACCUGCUCUUAGGAAGUCACUGAGAAUUCGUUGAACAACAGCUAUUCCUCCAGACAUUUACUGGUUAGUAAUUUUCAAUGUGCAGUAUGGGGGAUGAUUAUUGAGAACAUUUCACAUUUUAUAAAUCUUCACAUACUUCUUUGGCAUGAUCUAAAAUUUCUUAAUUAUUUUGGAGAUUUCAUGUUAUAUUAUGAGUCCUUAGAUACUUGUUAAUACUUAUUUUAUAUGACAGAGUUGGUACAUCACUAUGAAUUCUUUUCCUUAGUUCCUUAAUUCAUGUGCAGACAACAUUCCAAAAUGAGAGUUUGUUGAUCAGGUCUGGACUCCUCCUGACUGUGAAGAUCAAACCCUGUUUGCUUCAGAUUGGCAUGACUCAGGUUCUGGGGAUUGCAAGAACCAAGCCAUCACAGCUGAUACAACAAUGAGCCUUCUUGGUGACCAUUUUGCCACUGACCAUAACCAUGUGACUUCUGGAACUUCUCAGUCAAGUCAGGUGUGGUGUUUGGGUUCUUGUGCAGCGGCAGCUAAUAAUAUACAUGCUCUGUGUCAGCUAUCCGAUGUUUGUUAAGAACACUUCAUAGAUAUGUGAUUUGAACCUUGAUUAUUAGUAGAUCUGUGUUGAUUCCUUUAACAAGAUUGUCCAAUGUCAAUAUUUGCUUGGCUGAAGAAGAUUUUAUGGGUGUGAUUUAUAGUACCAACAAAAGGGUCAGACUAUUGCUUUUUGGAUGUUGCAUGUAUUGUAUACCAUCAUGAAUCUUGUGGACACAAAUGCUUUUGCAGACUCUGAUUAAAUUGAUUGACUGCAUUGCAGUUGAAACAUUGGAAUUCAUGUAGCUGGAUGGGUUAAGAAUGUCUUAAAUUUCUUUGCUUAUGUUUUUUGUUUGAACUGAUAAUUUAUCAUUUAUCUGUAUUAUUAGGCCAAAAAGUAUUGAUCUCUCUGAAAACUACUAUUUGUGUCUAUCAUAAUAUUAGUAUCCUUUUGUCUAUUCUAAAUCAAUAUAAAACAACUAUCAUAUAUAGAAUGAAUAUGUACGUUUUAUUAUUAUUUAUUAGACUUGAAAGAUUAUCCAUAUUUGGCUGGAUCAUAAAACCGUUUUGGCACAAAAACAGGCCAGGAAACAUUGUGCAUGUGAAGUGAGCUCUUUUAUUGAACGUAAACGAAACAACAUACUAUAUUUUCUUUUCAUCAUUAUAGAUCUUAAAAUCUUUCAAAAUUUUGCUCCAAUUAACUUGCAAUUGAACUCUUUCAAAAAAACUUUUUAUAUAGUGUUCAUGUUUGCUGAUGACCAGGACACCAAAUGUUUAGUCCAUGGAAAAGAUACAAGACAACCUUAAUCUGACUGGGGGAUAACCAGCGUCUCACCAGAACCUUUGAAAGCAGGUGGUGCAUGAGAUGCAGAGUAGCUAGUUGCUAGCCUGGAAGAUGGUUAUUCCAAUGUGCUUUAGACAUUAGUUUGAGUGCAAACAUAUGAACAGAUAUUUAUUAUUUUCUGUAUUAUAAAGAAUUAAUGUAGGAAAUGUUUUUUAACAAGAUUAUGGACAUUGAUUGCACUUGAACUAACCGAAUUAUCUAUUCUAGAGGUUAAUGAUGCAAGUUUUUACCAUUGAUUCUGUUCUUCACAAGCCCAAUAAGCUUUGGAAUGUUGAGCAGAGUUGAGAACAAUAUAUAAAUGAUAUGUUACAUGAGAUUACUAUUCAUGUGCACCAUACUUGUGCUGUAGAUAUAGUGUGGAAGGUCUGUAAUUUUCACAUACCAUUGUCAACUGCUGCAAUUUUAUUUUGUUAUAAUAUUGUUUGUUGCUUCUGCUUUUCAUGGUUACAGUUCAAAGCAACAAUGCUUGUGCUGUGAAUGAAGUUUCUGUUCAGGAAGAGUACCAUGACAGACUCUAGAAGCAUGACUACUUGAUGAGAUGGUUAAAAUACUUUCAUUUAAUUAACAUCAUUGCUUUCUUCAAUUGAAUGAAAUAUCAAGCAACUUUGAUGCAUUUAGUCAAAGUUUGUGGCUAUUUAAUUAGUUUGAUUUAUAAAUAAAUCCAUGGAACCUAUUAUCUCAUUCUGUUUUCUUUUUCACUGGGAUUCAUUUCAUGGGGAUAUGAUUCUAUGUAACUAUCUUCUCUGCACGGUCAAUGUCAGUGACCUUAACAUUGAACGAGCAGUAUAUGUGAUCUUGAAAUCCUUACCAAAAUAAAACAUAGUGACUGAUCUUAGUUGAAUAGGGAAGAAGAAGAAGUUAUUUUGUCACACACAACACUUAGAAGGAACUGAACGGACGUAUGUGAGUAUUAUAAUGAAGAAUAUUAUCUGAACUGAUAUAUUUAAAUACGAUUGCAUUGAAUCAGUGUAUAGGAAUGUCAAAAAGAAAAUGAAAAAGGAAUUCUUACAAAAAUAUAGCAAUAUCAAACAACCAAAAAAAAGAAAGAAUUACUAUGUCUGCAAAUUGUUAAAAAAGAAUGUAAGUUGAAGGACCCUCGUGUUUUUUAUUUUGUUAAGUUAGCCGCCAAAAUUGACUCAAUGCAUUAAAGUUCCUAGAAAUUUCAUUAAAGUACAUAAAGCAAUAAAAAGAAAAUUAAUUGUCUGAAUCCAAGUUGUGGUGUCGGUAAUAAUCAACAUCUAUUGAUUGACAUGUUUAACCAAAUCAUCACUUAAUUAUUUGUUAAAUUUUAACUCUUCUCUAUCUGCCUUCACGCUUGACCCUUCAUUCACAUAACUAAGCUCUGCUUCUAAUUUUCAGUUAUUUCUUUACUUUGAUUAGAUUACUUCCUUUCCAACCAUGCCAGUGAUAGAAACACUUGGUGGUGCCCUUUUCGGUGCUGUUCUUCAGGUGCUGUUUGACAAGCUUGAUUCUCGUCAAGUUCUGGACUACUUUCGUGGAAGAAAGCUCGAUGAGAAGCUGCUGAAGAAGUUGAAGAGGAAGCUGGUGUCCGUUAAUGCUGUGGUUGAUGAUGCAGAACAGAAGCAGUUCAGAAAUGCGUAUGUGAAGGCAUGGCUUGAUGAGGUCAGAGAUGUGUUGCUUGAUACAGAGGAUCUGAUGGAGGAAAUAGAGUAUGAAUUCUCCAGAUAUGAGUUGGAAGUUCAAUUCCACAGCAGUUCUAGCAAGGUAUGCAGUUUUGAAUCCAGGAUUGUAGAAGUCCUUGAUGACCUAGAAUCUCUUCUAAGCCAAAAGGAUGAUCUAGGUUUGAAAAAUGCUAGCGGAGUAGGGGUUGGGUUAGGGUUGAGUAGUAAUGUCUUACAUAAAUUGCCAUCUGGUGGUUGAAAAUAUUAUUUAUGGAAGAGAUGAUGAAAAAGAAAUGAUCCUUAAAUGGAUGACUUCUGAUGACACUGAAGAGCAUAGCCAACUAUCAAUACUUUCUGUUGUGGGUAUGGGUGGGAUGGGUAAGACCACACUUGCUCAACAUGUGUACAAUGACCCAAUGAUAGAGGAUAAAUUUGCUAUCAAAGGUUGGCUUUGUGUUUCGGAUGAAUUUGAUGUUUUUAUGGUAACAAAAGCAAUUGUUGGGGCAAUCACUAAAUCAAAAGAUGAUAGUGUAGACCUAGAAAUGGUUCAAGGACGAUUGAAAGAAACGUUGGCAGGAAGGAAGUUUCUCCUCGUUCUGGAUGAUGUCUGGAACGAACACUGAGACCAGUGGAAAUUAUUGCAAACUCCUCUUAAAUAUGGGGUUAAGGGAAGUAAAAUUCUCAUCACAACACGCAGUAACAAAGUUGCUUCUAUCAUGGAGUCAAACAAUAUUCACCAACUAAAGCAAUUACAUAAAGAUAACAGCUGGCAAGUUUUUGCUAAACAUGCAUUCCAAAAUGAUAACUCUAAGUCGAGUUUUGUGUUGAAGGAGAUUGGCAUGAAGAUAGCUGAAAAGUGCCAAGGACUGCCUCUAGCCCUUGAAACAGUAGGAUCUCUUUUACAGUCAAAGUCAUCUGUUUCAGAGUGGGAAAGUGUACUGAGAAGCAACAUAUGGGACUUACGAAUUGAAGAUAGUAAAAUCAUCCCCGCUUUGUUGUUGAGCUAUUACCAUCUUCCUUCUAAUCUCAAGAGAUGUUUCGCUUAUUGUGCUUUAUUCCCCAAAGACCAUAAGUUUGAGAAGGAGAGCUUAAUUCUCUCAUGGAUGGCUCAGAAUUUCCUACAAUGUUCUCACGAGAGGGAGUCUCCAGAAGAAAUAGGUGAACAAUACUUCAAUGAUCUAUUAUCAAGGUCAUUCUUUCAGCAAUCAAUUUGGUACAACGAAACAUGUUUUCUGAUGCACGACCUUCUGAAUGAUUUAGCAAAAUAUGUUUCUAGUGAAAUGUGCUACAGUUUAGGUGUUGAUAGACCAAGAAGCGUACCAAAGACAACUCGUCACUUUUCAAUUUUAAAUAAGGAUCCCGUUGAAUGUGAUGAGUACAGGAGUUUAUGUGAUGCUAAAAGGCUACGGACAUUUUUGUCCAUGUCUACGAAUUUUGGGAUGUCAAUACAAGAGUUGAUCUCCAACUUUAAGUUCUUACGACUCUUAUCUUUGUCGAGCUGCCUUAAUAUAAAAGAGGUGCUUGACACUAUAGCCGAUCUCAUACAUCUCCGUUCAUUAGACCUUUCUGGUAUCCUUAUAGAGAGACUUCCCAACUCAGCGUGUUCACUUUGUAACUUGCAAGUGUUGAAGCUGAACAAAUGUGAGUUUUUGAAGGAGCUGCCCUCGACUUUGAUUGAGCUCACUAAGUUGCGCCGCAUUGAACUUAUGGGAACUACAUUAAUAAAGGCUCCAGUGCUUUUAGGAAACUUGAAGAGUCUUCAAGUAUGGUUGAGUGUGUUUGAGGUUGGAAAAAGUAGUAGUGAGUUCAGAUUUCAACAACUAGGAUAACUUGAUCUUCAUGGACAUAUGUUAAUUAGAAAUCUUGAAAAUAUUGUGAAUCCCUGUGAUGCAUUGGCAGCGAAUUUGAAGAAUAAAACACAUCUUGUGGGGCUAGAUUUACAAUGGGAUUGGAUGCGGAACAAUGAGGAUUCAAUAAAAGAAAGAGAAGUACUAGCGAAUCUGCAACCUUCUAGAUAUUUGGAGCAGUUGUCAAUCUAUCACUAUGGUGGCACACAAUUUCCACGUUGGUUAUCUGAUAAAUUUCUAUUGCAUGUGGUGUCCCUAAACUUGUAUAACUGUAAAUAUUGCCAAUGGUUGCCUUCCCUUGGACUUUUGGCAUCUCUCAAGCAAUUGACAAUUGAGGGCCUUGAUGAGAUAGUGAGGAUAGAUGCUGAUUUUUACGGGAAUAACUCUUCUGCAUUUGCAUCCUUGGAAACGUUGACCUUUCAUGAUAUGAAUGGAUGGGAAGAAUGGCAAUGCAUGACGGGUGCUUUUCCAAGUCUUUAACAACUUUCCGUGUUGGCUUGUCCUAAACUGAAAGGGCACUUGCCAGAGCAUCUUCCUCAUUUAAAAGAGCUAACUGUUUUUGACUGCAAACAACUUGUGGCUUCGACUCCCAAGGCGGUAGAAAUUGAAGGUGUGAAGAAAGAGACAUCUUCAUUUGAUAUGUUGUUGCACCAUAUUGAAUCCUUGAGUAUUCAUAUUUGUCCGGGCAUGAAUAUUCUCAUAAACCAUUGUUACCAUUUCCUUGUAGAAUUGGAUAUCAAUGAAUGUUGUGACUCUCUGACGAACUUCCCUCUAGACUUAUUCCCAAAUCUGUGCGGGCUUAAAUUAGGCAAUUGUGGUAACCUACGGAUGAUAUCACAGGGGCACCCUCAUCGUCAUUUGAAGAAUCUGUCGAUUCAACAUUGCUCUGAAUUUGAAUCAUUUCCCAAUGAAGGGUUAUUUGCACUUCAGCUAGAGAGCUUUUAUAUUAAAGGAUUGGAGAAAUUGAAAUCAAUGCCUAAACACAUAUCUGCCCUCCUUCCAUCUCUUCAUUUUCUGAAUAUAAUGGAUUGUCCAGGAGUGGAGUUGUCCGAGGGAUGUUUGCCAUCAAAUCUAAAACACAUCUCUCUCUGGAAUUGCUCCAAACUUGUUGCCUCACUAAAGAAGGGGGUUUGGAGAACCAACCCUUCCAUAGAAUCCUUGUCUUUUAAAGAAGAGGAUGUGGAGUGUUUUCCGGAUGAAGGUUUGCUCCCACUCUCUCCUACUAAUCUAGAGAUACGUGAUUGUCCAAAACUUAAAAAACUGGAUUACAAGGGUCUGUCACCUUUCCUCUCUUCAGAAAUUGGUUAUUCAGAAUUGUCCAAUACUGGAAUGCUUGCCAGAGGAGGGUCUUCCAAAAUCCAUUUCACAACUCACAAUUAUAGACUGUCCGUUGCUCAAACAGCGGGGCAAGAAAGAAGAAGGCGAAGACUGGAAAAAGAUUCCUAUAUGGAUUACUAAUGGAAAACGAGUAAACAUUGAAGAUGAACCAGAAAUUGGAAAUACCUAAGACACCAAUUCUCAUAUGCCUACAUUUUCAUCAGGUGCAAAUUCUCCCACACUAUCUUUUAAGCAUCUCAAAUACAAUCUUAUUUAGUUCAAAUAAUUUAAUAUCUAAUUGAUCAUUUUCAUCACAAAUGUUCUGUUUUACGUGCAAGAAUUACAAUUAUCGAUAUUCACUUUUGAAAUUGAAUAGCGAUGCUUAUAUUUAGUUGAAUAUUCACGUGAAAAUCAAAAUAAUCUUAGAAAGCCAGUGAGAAAUCAUUGAACGAACUACUAUCCUUCCAGACAUUUAUAGGUUAGUAAUUUUCAAUGUGCUGUAUGGGGGAAGAUUACUAAGAGAACAUUUCACAUCUUUAUAAAUUAUCACAUACUUCUUUGGCAUAAUCUGAAAUUUCUUAAUUAUUUUGAGAUUUCAUGUUUAUAUUACGAGUCUUUAGAUACUUGUUAAUACUUAUUUUAUAUGAUAGAGUUGGUACAUCGCUAUGAAUUCAUUUAUCAGUUUUAAUGAAAAGGCAUAGGUUAGGUUUCAUCCUCAAUUCCUUAAUUCAUGUGCAGGAAACAUUCCAAAAUUAGAGUUUGUUGAUUAGAUUUGGACUCCUGACAGUGAAAAUCAAACCUUGUCCCUCUUGAAUAUCACUCGUCCAGACUCUUGUUUGCUUCAGAUUGGCAUGACUUAGGUUCUGGGGAUGGCAACAACUGAUACAACAAUGACCCUUCUUGGAGACCAUUUUGCCAUUGACCAUAACCAUGUGACUUCUGGAACUUCUCAGUCAAGUCAGUUGUGGGGUUUUGAUUCUUGUGCAACGGCAGCUAUUAAUAUACAGGCUUUGUGUCAGCUAUUCGAUCUUGUUUAAGAACCUGUAAUCUGACUCAGGGAUAGCCAACGUCUCACCAGAACCUUUGAAAGCCGGUGGUGGAUGAGAUGCAGAGUACCUAGUGGCUAGCCUGGAAGAUGGUUAUUCCAAUGUGCUUUAGACAUUAGUUUGAGUGCAAACAUAUGAACCGAUAUUUAUUAUUUUCUGUACUAUAAAGAAUGUAGGAAAUGUUUUUUGACAAGAUUAUGAACAUUGAUUGCACUUGAACUAACUGAAUUAUCUAUUCUGGAGGUUCAUGAUGCAAUUUUUUACCAUUGAUUAUGUUCAUCACAAGCUCAAUAAGCUUAGGAAUGUUAAGCAGAGUUGAGAACAAUAUAUAAAUGAUGUUAUAUGAGAUUACUAUUCAUCUUGUGCAGUAGAUAUAGUGUUGAACGUGUGUAAUUUUCACAUACCAUUGUCAACUGCUGCAAUUUUAUUUUGUUAUAUUAUUGUUUGUUGCUUCUGCUGCACAUGGUUACAGUUCAAAGCAACAAUGCUUCUGCUGUGCAUGAAUUUUAUGUUGAGGAAUAGUAUAUGACAUACUCUGGAAGCAUGACUACUUGAUGAGAUGGUUAAAA
rnacentral:lncRNA from 1 species